AUGCGAGCCCCGGGAAGAGUUUUCUUUUCUCUGUAAGGAGAUCGAGUCCCUGGAAUGGGUUCGCCCCGAGAUAGGGAUGGUGGCUCCGUAGAGCAGUGCGGUUCUUGCGCUGUCCGGUGCGCUCGCGUCGGCCCUUGAAAAUCCGAGUGAGGGAGUGUGAUUUUCGUGCCGGACCGUACCCACAUCCGCAGCAGGUCUCCAAGGUGAACAGCCUCUAGUCGAUGGACCAAUGUAGGUAAGGGAAGUCGGCAAAACGGAUCCGUAACCUUGGGAUAAGGAUUGGCUCUGAGGACUGAGCCGGUCGGGCUGGGGACCUGAAGCAGGAACGGCACUGCACCGGGACUGGGCGGGGCUCGCCGUUCACGCGGCGCGGCCAAGCCCGGACCAGCGUCGGGACCUUCCUGUGGAAAGCCUCAGCUGCGCGGCGUCUGAGGGCUUCGUGCCCAAAGUGCUAUGCUUCGGCCGGCAAAAAACAGUCAACUCAGAACUGGCACGGACCGGGGGAAUCCGACUGUCUAAUUAAAACAAAGCAUUGCGAUGGCCGCUGGUCGGUGUUGACGCAAUGUGAUUUCUGCCCAGUGCUCUGAAUGUCAACGUGAAGAGAUUCAUCAAAGCGCGGGUAAACGGCGGGAGUAACUAUGACUCUAAACGGGGGGAAGGUCUGGCAACCUUGGAGCGAGGCAAUCCUGCUUCACCUCGGUUCCGCGAACUUUUUAAAGUUUUACGCGGAAAAACUACUUUCUCGAGGUGUAAAAUGGUUCCAGUGUCCUCCGGAAUACGUCAGAGUACCGGUGAGGUGCUUUUUUUCCCGACUGGAUGUUAAUUUUCGCCGAGGUUGAGACUUUUGUGUUCUGCUGGACGCGGCGGCCAUGAGCGCAUUGCCGAGCACAAUCGGAUCGCAUCGGCGUCAGGACGGCUCUAGGACUCCGGCUACCCAUCUCCUGGCGGUGUACUGUUCGACGGUCACGUAAGAGAACCUGUAUUUUUCGGGUCCAAUGUGAUUUUCGGAACUUUUGGACAUCGGCCAUUGCAAUCUGCACUGCUGCACCCAACUACGCUUCCCGGGCAAUCCGGGUGAAUCGGCGAGGUGAUCGGCGUGGGACGGUGGUGUCAGCCUGAAAAGUGUGCCUUGGAAGGCAAGGAUUGUUGGCCGAGAAGUAUUUUUUGUCCACGUUGGCCCGUUUUUCGGUGGUAUCUUUGCACUUGUUGUGCACAGAUGCAGUGCAACACCAGCCGGCAGAUCGGAAGUGUGAGGCAGCGGCUGCCGUGUAGAAAUGUUGGUUUUGCGAGUUCGUGAAGUGCUCAGUCGUCGUUCGGAAUGUGCCGCGAGACCUACUCAAGAUCUAAUUUCCGGGUGUGUCCACCAUCCUGCCCGGUGCAAGGGAUUGUCGCCUGGUUGAAAGCAGUGCCCGGGACGUCCUUCUUGGCGGAAGCAGGCAACAUCGGCAUCGUCCCGGCUCUUGGACCGGGAACCUGCAUCUCACGGUGCUCUACUGACUUGAUGCUGUUUCGGAGAGACAGCUUUUUGUCUCUGCGGGG
rnacentral:ncRNA from 1 species